GACGAACGCUGGCGGCGUGCUUAACACAUGCAAGUCGAGCGAGCGGCGGCCGGGUGAGUACUGUCUGGGAAACUGCCUGAUGGAGGGGGAUCACUACUGGAAACGGUAGCUAAUACCGCAUACCAUCAGAUUUGCCCAGAUGGGAUUAGCUGGUAGGUGGGGUAACGGCUCACCUAGGCGACGAUCCCUAGCUGGUCUGAGAGGAUGACCAGCCAAACUGGAACGGAGACACGGUCCAGACUCCUACGGGAGGCAGCAGUGGGGAAUAUUGCACAAUGGGCGCAAGCCUGAUGCAGCCAUGCCGCGUGUGUGAAGAAGGCCUGCGGGUUGUAAAGCACUUUCAGCGGGGAGGCGGUACCCGCAGAAGAAGCACCGGCUAACUCCGUGCCAGCAGCCGCGGUAAUUC
rnacentral:rRNA from 1 species